rnacentral:misc_RNA from 1 species
UCAAACUUGGUCAUUUAGAGGAAGUAAAAGUCGUAACAAGGUUUCCGUAGGUGAACCUGCGGAAGGAUCAUCACCGAAUUCAUAUCCCCCUCCUCUCCCGGAGGGGGACCCAUGAUAAACCCUUCUGUGCACCGUAACCCGUUCACUUUGGCAGGCUUUGGUGGUGAGCGUGAGCUCGUCUCCAACCUCGCGUUCCUCCUCCCUAAGGGGGUGUUACGCGUGGCGGCCUGCCAGUCCUCCAUUAAAAACUCGUUUUCGAACGCGUCUGAAAAUUUCCUUUGAGAAAUCAAAGAACCGAAACAACUUUCAACAACGGAUCUCUUGGCUCUCGCAUCGAUGAAGAACGCAGC